rnacentral:rRNA from 1 species
CAGCCCCUCGAGUGGUGGGGAUGAUUAUUUGGCCUAAAGCGUCCGUAGCCGGCCGUGUAAGUCUCCCGUUAAAUCCAGCGUCUCAAGCGUUGGACUGCGGGAGAUACUGUACGGCUAGAGAGUGGGAGAGGUCAGCGGUAUUCUGGGGGUAGGGGCGAAAUCCUUUGAUCCCCGGAGGACCACCAGUGACGAAGGCUGCUGACUAGAACACGUCUGACGGUCAGGGACGAAAGCUGGGGUAGCGAACCGGAUUAGAUACCCGAGUAGUCC